UACGGAGGGUGCAAGCGUUGCUCGGAAUCAUUGGGCGUAAAGCGUACGCAGGCUGUUCGUUAAGUCGGGUGUGAAAGCCCGGGGCUCAACCCCGGAAAUGCGCCCGAAACUGGCGGGCUUGAGUGCGGGAGAGGGAAGCGGAAUUCCUGGUGUAGAGGUGAAAUUCGUAGAUAUCAGGAGGAACACCGGUGGCGAAAGCGGCUUCCUGGCCCGACACUGACGCUCAUGUACGAAAGCGUGGGGAGCAAACAGG
rnacentral:rRNA from 1 species